AAAUUGAGGCUUAAAAAGGUUUAGGAAUUUGUCAAAGAUCACAGAGCCUUAGAAAAUAGUGGAAUUUCAUUUCCAGGUCUUUUAACUACAGACGUCUUUUCAUUCAUUUAUUCAUGUAUUAAUUUGACGCAUAUUGAUUAUGCCUCUGCAUGGGCACUGACCAGGGGUGGGGAUAACAGAGUGCCCUGUGUGCCUGAUCUUCAUGGCCCUUUCCUGAAAUUCCUGUCUAUAGCCCUCCCUCAGCACUAAGUCGCUUUAGUUUAAAAAGUAGAAAAUACCAUCAUGUUGAAAAACCCAUCAAUACAUAAAUUUGUGGCACGUGGGACACCGCCUCAGCGUGGCUUAAUGAGUGGUGCUAGGUCCGUGCCCAGGAUCCGAACUGGUAAAACCCUGGGCCACUGGAGGAGCAGAGCGCACAAACCUAACCACUCGGCCCUGAGGCGGCCCCAAGGUGUUCUGAAUUCCCAGCAGCACCCUGAAGGCACAGGCUCGCAUCAGACUUCUGGCUGCAGGCUUCAUCUUAUGCCUGAGAUUCUCAUGAUCGCUUCUCUGACAAGUCAACUGCUCCUCAUCCUUGCACACUCCCUUAAAAAGGCGCUCUCCAUUUGUAUUACAAUUCAAUGGUGUGACUCCAAACCUACUCUUUGCCUCAAAGGCCAGGCUCUCCUCUGAGCUGCCCGAUCAAUGACUCUUCCUCAUCAGAUUUCAUCCAUUGCCCUUCUGGAAAUGGCUUUCUCUUCUGAGGAAGAUCUGGUGCUCGCUCUUCUGGAUACCACAAUGUAUACACCUGUUCUAUACACCAGUAGUUGGCUCCUCAGAGGCAGGGACCAGAGAAUGUGUACUCUCUCACCACAGACUCCUUUUAGGAGUACCUGAACAGUGCCUCAGAGACUAAUUCAGGUCAGUUUCCCCUGUUGGACCAGAAACUCCUUGAGGACGUAGCCAUGUCUUAUUCAUCUCUGUAUCCCACCGCCUAGGACAAUAGGCAGCUCAAUAAAUGCUUAAUAAACCUUUCAAACAAAUGGAAUAUUAAAAUAUUCAAAUAUUAGAUUUUUCAAUUCACUUACAACAUGGAUCACUAAAACUGCAUUUAGCACAUGUUUACAUUUUCAUCCAAAUGUCUAUAGUUUUUAAUAAAGUCCCAUCUUCUGAAUAAAUAAAACUCCAUUUUAAGAUAUUACCACUCCAUGAUCUGUGAGCAGAUUCCUUCAAUCCCAGGAGUGCUCUUUGCUAAAUGCAUGGUUUUGCAUAUAUUAGUUAAUUUCCUCUAAUACUAGGAGGAAGUUGGGAAGAAAUUCAUAUAUAAUGUGCUAUAAUCUUUUUCUCACAUAAGUAUGGAGAGUGUAACUACCCCACCAGGAGGAAGUUUGAUGUAAAUUUAUCACACUAGGUUUGGGGAGAAGCAGUUCUCUCCUGAUUAUUUCUGCACUCUUCAUUCUGGCCAGACGGCAGUUCCCCCAAUGUGGGAAAGCACAGGCAAAUGAGGCAGAAGACAGGAGUUUGUGUUCUUGGGCUGCUGUUUACAGGUUUUGUGACCUUGCACAAGCAAUUUAAAUGCCCUGAGUCUCAGUUCCUUUAUUUGGUUAUUUCAUAGGGAAUUGGGCCAGGUCAAAGGGCAUCAUGUAUAUGAAAGUGCUUUGUGUCCCACAACCUGCAGGACAGAACUCAGUGAAAAAGCAGCAUGAGUGGAAAACACAUGGGUUUGGAAGACAACAGAUCAGUUUCAAAUCUUGGUUUUGCCACUUUUGUGUGACUUUGGGCACAAUACUUAACUUCCUGGACAACUACUUUCCUCAUUUG
rnacentral:lncRNA from 1 species